GAUGAGAGUAAGCCACAUGGGAAUCUGCAUCAAUCCGAUUACACUGCAGCGGAUGCAGUCUACAGGGGAAAGCUCCGUCCAUGGAACCGGACAACAAGAAGAUGUGUAACCUGGGCAUUUUCUUGAUGAAGCAAGGUCGCGUAGACGAGGCCAAAGUGCACUCAAGAGCAUGACGCCGGCAUCCUCAGAUACCCGCUGGGGCGCCGACUCACACCUUAAGUCAUACGAGCGCGCACAGGAGCAAGGGCAGCCACAGCAGUCGGACCAUUUACGGAGUACUGGAAUUUCCGUCUUGUUCGCCACGCUUGCUCAAUCCAGGCCCAAGCGAGAGAUUGAAAUCAUCGCCUCCCGCAGCAGGUACGAUUCCUGGGACUACGACGACACGAUGAGGACGACUAAAAUCCUUGACGACAUCCACCAUUUUUUUGCGGCGGAGGUGCUCAAGAAGAAGCAAACUCGAACGCUCCAUCCACCACCAACACUAGCCAAGUUCUCGCUCGGAGAUCCCUCUUGGGAGGCUGGAGGUGUAUUAUAAUAUUCUCAACUGCUAUAUGGAUUGGAGUGCGAGGCCUUCGCACACCCCGCCUUCCAAGGCUCACGUCCCAGUGGAUCCGGCAAGCUCCCAGCAGUGACGCGCAACCGGCAGCGUCCAAUCCCAGCGGCAGGCUGGCGGCGAGCUCCUCGCCGCAGCCCAAGAGCCCCGAUCCGGCAAGGGCGUCGAUGACCGCUCCAUAGUCGUGCUCCGCCACUAUGAGUAAGCAGCCCCCUUUGCUUGCAAGCGUUGAGAAUGCCCAGGAAUGUGAUGCUGUCCAGCGCGAAGCCCUGGAGCUGCAUCAGUCGGGUGGUAUGGUGGCUUGGUUACAGAUCGAGCAUAGGCUGUGAUCAUGGAGCUCCAGGACACGGGAUCCGGGUCGGGGAUCAUUGCAAAUACCUUUGCUGAGUUUUCGAGACUCCCGUUAUCGGCGUAAGCUGCGGCCAGCGAGCUCCAGGAUCCCACAUUACGGUAGGCUAUUGCGUCGAGCGUCUGCAGCUUUUGGAGUAAACGGUCAAGAGUGCAUUGCAGGAAACCACGAAGAACACCUGCAUGGCUGCCUCGAGAUGGAAGUGUUGGCCGUAGGCCGAGAUCAAGGCCGAGCAGGCCACCGUUUUCCAUUCAGGCAUCCGGUCAAACAGGCACUUAGCAUCUUCCGCACACGCGGUUACCAUGGCGCUCCAGCACACGAUGUCUUCGCGGGAGAGGAAUCACAUACUUUUUGCGCUCCCUGCAAGCCCCCAGCCUCGCCAAAUGCUUUCAUCAUUGACGUUAAAGAAACCACGUCCAUCUCUGGCAUGGAUUUAUUUGAGCCCCGGCACAAUGCCCCGCUACAGCAUUUCCACGCUGAAACAUCUCAUUAAAGGCACGCAGAAAAACAAAUCGCGAGUCUCUGCCAGCUUUUUGAACAAUGUGUACGCUUGUAAAAGAGUAUUCCAGCUGGCCACGCUACGUACGGGCAUCACAUUAAACAAGGCAAUUGAAACGUCAAAAUGCCCUGCUUGGGCAUUUGCUAAGAGGACAGUAGUCCACGAAACGACGCCCCUCUCCUCCGGCAUCACUGCCAUAGCUUCGCGAAGGUUAGCGAGCUGGAAAUGACCACGCAGGAUUGUGUUCCAAACACCUCUCUUGCGUCCGGUAAAAUGCAUGCCGCGAUGAAAAGCUUCCACGAGAAAACAUUGGGAUGCUUGAUGGCCCCAAAAGCCUUGCACGCAAGCUCCAAGUUUCCAGGCUUCCCAUACCUGUGAAUCAGCAAGUUGGAGCGAUAUCUCGCCCUCGAAUCGUCGAGCAGCAGGGCAAUCCAGUUCUUAGAGCUAGAGCAACCAUCGCCUCAUCGCAAACUCUCAGCCAACCUUGUCCUCCUCUUCGAAAAGACCAUACUUUCCUGGUUGCUCCAUCUUUCAUCGCAUACAUGUUCGCAAGGAGGUCAUGGGCGGCACCACCCAAGAGAGUCUUAGCUGCGUGAGCACCAUGUUCCAAAUUGCUAUAGCUCGUCGAUGCACCCAGCAAACAAUCGCCAGUCCAUGGAGCUUGUUUGCAACGAUCCCAUGCGAAGCAACGCAAGCCAUCCCAAACUUAUCCAGUGCGUCCACACACGAGAAGAACCAACGUGGAGCCCGGUCUCUCCUCUUCAACCUUGAUCGCACCAUACACAUCCAGCGCGUUUGAAAACGCCCAUUAUGCGCAUAAGCCGAAAUCAUGGCGUCCCAGGCAAUCGGAUCUUUAUCUGGGCUUUGAUCAAGGAUUUUCUUGGAGUGUGUAACACGACCACUUUGCCCGUAACCUGUUAGUAUGGUGGUUACUGCAACCAAGCCCUGCACAGGCAUUGUAUCAAACAGAAGCUUGGUAUGUUCCAGAUGCCCGCUUUGGGCACUUGCUGAGAGGAUUGAGUUCCAGGAAAUAACAUCAUGCCAAGCCUCAUCAAGAUGCGCAUUCCAGCUCACAUUGCUCCUCCACGUCCCCCGCGGACCACAUCCGCCGGACUGCUGCUGCUGGCUCGUGGACGACGACGAUACAACUUAGUUUAACAUAAAACAUACUUCACUGGUUAUGGUCAACCUUGAUUAUGAACCAUACGAGAGUCUUUCCACAAGUAACAGAUAGAAAAGAAGCUCAAAGUCUGAAUAAUUAAAGCUGAUGAAAAGUAUUGUUGAGACGUAGCCUCAAUUUCACAUGGCGAAUUUGCAGAGCCUAGCAAAAGCAGCUCUUCCAUUAAUCUAGAAGUCCAAAAUUUACAUAUAUAUCCGUCGUUGUUCAGUCUGACCAAAAGAUCGUCACUAACUAUCAGUAGCUAUCGUAGCGUAAACCAGCCACAUACCAUUCCAACUACCCAUACUUCCCCACCG